GAUGAACGCUGGCGGCGCGCCUAAUACAUGCAAGUCGAGCGAACAGACGAGGAGCUUGCUCCUUCGACGUUAGCGGCGGACGGGUGAGUAACACGUAGAUAACCUACCUAUAAGACUGGGAUAACUUCGGGAAACCGGAGCUAAUACCGGAUAAUAUUUCGAACCGCAUGGUUCGAUAGUGAAAGAUGGCUUUGCUGUCACUUAUAGAUGGACCUGCGCCGCAUUAGCUAGUUGGUAAGGUAACGGCUUACCAAGGCAACGAUGCGUAGCCGACCUGAGAGGGUGAUCGGCCACACUGGAACUGAGACACGGUCCAGACUCCUACGGGAGGCAGCAGUAGGGAAUCUUCCGCAAUGGGCGAAAGCCUGACGGAGCAACGCCGCGUGAGUGAUGAAGGUCUUCGGAUCGUAAAACUCUGUUAUUAGGGAAGAACAAACGUGUAAGUAACUGUGCACGUCUUGACGGUACCUAAUCAGAAAGCCACGGCUAACUACGUG
rnacentral:rRNA from 1 species